AGUUUUCUGGAUUUCAUUUUGUUUUUUACCCAGCUAGUUAUAGAUGCCACAGGGUGACCUCCUUUUCCCUUCUAGGCUAAAGCUGUCAUAGGUCUAUGAAAAUCUAGGGAUUCCCUUCUAGGCUUCACAGUCUUAAGUGGUGUGUGUGCUUUGCAGAUGAGCAAGGCUUGUUUUGUAUUGAUAUGUUGCUGCCUUGACUUCUUGGAUUUCUAGAUCAUAUAGCAAGGUAAAUGUUAGUCUGUUCUCGCACUGCUAUAAAGACAUACCCGAGAAUGGGUAAUUUAUAAAGAAAAGAGGUUUAAUUAACUCACAGUUCCACAUGGCUGGGGAGGCCUCAGGAAACUUAAAAUCAUGGCAGAAGAUGAAGCAGACGUGUCUUACAUGUCAGCAGAAAAGAGAGAGAAGGGGAGAGAGAGAAUGAGAAUUCAUGAGAGUGAGCAGGAGCGAGCAUGUGCAUGCAAGAGCAGGAAAAACUGCCUUAUAAAACCAUCAGAUCUCGUGAGAACUCACUGUCACGAGAACAGCAUGGAGGAAACUGCUUCCAUGAUCCAGUCACCUCCCACCUAGUCCCUCCCUCAACAAGUGGGGUUAUGGCGAUUAUAAUUCAAGAUGAGAUUUUGGUGGGGACACAGCCACACCCUAUCAGCAGGUUUGUAAUUAGAUGAGUUUAUCCACUGGGGGGUAAUCCUAGAGUACAUAUCUGUGGGUGGUUCUUGACAAGUGUGUAAGGCCUGGGACAUCUGGCUUUGAGGCAGUUCUUUCUCCAGGUUUUAUUUAUGCGAAUCCACUCAUCUGGCAGGAAUGAUUUGUUGGUGUGAAAUCAGGUGUUGGCCCAGCAUCCUGCACAUGUUCCAUCCACAUGGCAGUGAUGGUCAUUGCACACCAGUGCUUGGUCUCCCAAGUUCUGGAGAGUGUUUUUAUUUCACUGCCAUCUAAUUUAUCCAGAAAGUUCAAGUAGCGUAUUUUCUGUAGAUUCUUAUAAUUUCAAGAUUACCAGGUCCCUGUGUGAACUCUCAGACCACAUCCUGUUGCCUUUCUCUGUCAUUCUAUUGUUUUCUCUCCCAGGAGGGCUGGGUGGUAGGGUAUUUAUUAAUUUAUUGCCCCAUAUACUAAUGAGUUCCUUCCUAGAACUCCUUACAACUCUCAGUCCAUGGCCUGUUGUCCAUCUUUGCUGUCCCAGGAGUGCUGGUAGGUAGAGUAUUUAAUGAUCUCUUCUUGUCCCUAGGUUGAGGAGCCCUCACUCACCUUGGUCCAUUCCUUGGUCCAUUCCAGCUGUCUGUUUUCACUUUUCCUGUGACCCAUGUCACCUUUUUCUCUCUGGGUCUUGCUGCCUCACUGGUAUGAAAUUCAGACUUGGGUGGGGCAGACUUGGGGGUUUCCUGCCUUGAAGAUCCUCAGAUCUUGUCCUGUGGUACAUGCAGCUACCCUGAUGGCACACUUCAGCAGGAGGGUGAUCUUUUCUGUUCUUUUUUGUUGUUGUCUUAUUUCCUCUGCCUGCCCCCACCAUUUUUAGUCUGAGGGAAAUCUGUCUUCCAUCAUCUUUCUGCCUAAAAUAUUUAGUCCAUCCCCAGAAGUCUUAGGUUUCUGGGACACCAGCCCUAGUCAUUUAAUGUUUGAAUAAUUGGUAACCUUCCCACUACCCUAUUAAUCUCCAAGGUCUUCCUAUUUCUUAUGUCUACAUAAUACAGCUAAGACAAUUCUCGGUGCCUGCUACUUCAUUCUUAUUUGCUGCUUGUGAUUUUCAGUAGCUUUCUUAGUCCCUAAGAAUAAAAUAAAACUUGAUCAUUUUGUUGCUAUUUGUUGCCAUUUGUUGCUAUGCUUAUUUAUUUUUAUGUUUUGU
rnacentral:lncRNA from 1 species